GGCAAAUAAAUGAAAGAUGCUGUUUACAGAAGUUACGCACUUGUUUCUACCCUCCGUUUUCUUCAGAGUGUUUGUGAAUUAACAAAUCAAAUAUGUUAAGUGUUUGCUGAAAGAGGAGGAAACAUUCUGUCUAACGCUCGGAGCGAAACAAAAACGAAAUAAUCAGAUGUUUCUUUGAAAGUUACAUCCUAGAAUGUUACUCGUAGUGAUGGUUCUGCAGCCUCUAAAAAGGCUACCAUAUGAUCUCGGCACCGACGCGCCAAGCCAACUGUAACCAGGAAGUAAACAUGCAGAUAUCGCCAUUACCAUAUCCAGAAAUCCAGAGUAUCUCACUUCAACGCUCCAAAAGUGAAGCGAGUAAAAGAACCAAAGUAUACCGUACUUUUUGGGUGGAUUUUGUACUUUCUUGAAGAAUAGUUUGUAUCCGGCCCUUUGGAAGACGUGCAUCGUAUUUUUGGAAUGAAUUUAGUACUUUCUUUGACCAAAGAAAUGUUGUUACCCUGUAUAACAGCUCUCAAUAAAAAUAAAGCGGCAUGUAA